ACCGCUUUUAAUGGGAUAGAGGGAGUACAUCAUUAUUUCAUCAAAGUAUACAUACAAUUGUGAUUAAAUACAGGACAAUAUCAUGUAAGUUAUUGAUGAGGAGUAAUAUAUGCAGAGCAGAGGAAUGAAUUUGGACAGAGGUAUCGUUCGGGUCAGAGGAAUGGGCUAGGUCAGAGGAAUCGCUAGAGUCAGAGGAAUGCUCUACCUACAAGGUAGUCAACGGUAGAAAUGACCACUUUACCCGGGAAGCGCCAGAGCAGAGGAAUCCAGAGCUCUCCGAUACAUACGUUUCUCUGUCACUGAGUAGAGGAAUG
rnacentral:lncRNA from 1 species